rnacentral:lncRNA from 1 species
AUGCCCCGAGCGUGGCCACCCUCAGCCGCGGGGCGAUGCCCGUCACCCCGGGAGAUGCCCAUCACCCCGGGAGGUGCCCCGGCCCGCCUGGAGGGUCCCGCCGCUCCCCGGGGCCGCCCGGAGCCGCCUGACCGCGCCCUCCCCCGAUGUGGAGACCCCGCGACACCCCCGAUCUGCCCGGGGGGACAGGACAGGACUCACCGCCCGCCGGGCCGGGACUGCGGGGGCCGGGAGGAGCGGCAGGGCCGGGACACCCGGCUCGGGGCUGGCGAGGCGGAGCGGAGCCCGGCAGCGGCGGCGGCGGCGGCGGCGGCAGGAGGAGCAGCAGGAGGAGGAGGAGGAGGAGGAGGGGGAGGAAGAAAAGGGGGAGCAAAGCGGGGCUCGGCCCCGCCGCCGGGAGCCCGCGAGAUUCGCCGAGCGGCCGCGCAGAGCCGCCUCCUGCCGCGCGCGGGGCAACCGCCGGGGGGCGCCCGCGGGCAGCGGCCGGGGACACGGAGCGGGACGCGGGGACAGGGACAGGACAGGGAACGGAACAGGACAGGGGACAGGGACAGGGACAGGACACGGGGACAGGGACAGGGGGACAGGAGACAGGGGGACAGGGACAGGACCGGGGACAGGGACAGGACACGGGGACAGGGACAGGACACGGGGUGCAGGGAGGACAAGAGGGACAGGGACGGGACACGGGGACACGGAGGGGGACACGCGAUGGAGGGACAGGACACUGUGCGCGGAAAGGGUGCGCGGAGCAGACGGAGAUUGGGAGCAGGACACGGGGUGAGGGUGGCAGACACGGGGUGGGAGGGCAGGACACGGGGUGCGGGAUCAGGAUACGGGGUGCGGGAUCAGGACAUGGGGUCCAGGAGGGGACACGGGCUGUGGGAUCAGGACACGGGGUGCGGGAUCAGGACACGGGGUGCGGGAUCAGGACACGGGGUGCCGGAUCAGGACACGGGGUGCAGGAAGGACACGGGGUGCGGGAUCAGGACACGGGGUGCAGGAAGGACACGGGGUGCGGGAUCAGGACACGGGGUGCGGGAUCAGGACACGGGGUCCAGGAGGGGACACGGGUGCGGGAUCAGGACACGGGUGCAGAAAGGGACACGGGUGCAGGAAGGACACGCGGUGCAGCAGGCGCGGGUCAGGACGGGCCCGGUGGCGGCGGGUCCCGCUGGGCUGCCGGAGCCCGGAGCGGGAAGCGCAUUCCCGAGGGAGCCCGGGCCUGGCUGGAAACCCUUUAAUGUGCGCUCUAAUGAGAGCUGGGCGAGGAGCGGCUGUCUGGGGACGGGUUGUGCCAGUGGCUGGUGCCAUCCCCGCCCUGCGAGCCGCGUUUGCAUUCGCCUUGGUGCCUCGCUCGCAGCAUCGCUCCCACAUCACCCGGAUUCACUUCUGUGUCCCACGAUGUCCUUUAAUUCGGGAAUAUUAUCUGUUCUUGGAAAGGUUAAUUACAUUAAAGGAGUGGAUCUCUGUUCCCAUUUCUUCAUGGCUUCAUUUAUUCUGCCU